GCUGCCUCAGGAGUUAAGUCCCACGGAUGCCACCUUGUGUGCUGAAGGCCGGAGCCGUAUUCCUCCGCGCUCGGGGCCCCAGCGCCGCUCGCUGCAUCGCAACCGCACGGCGGAGGGUUUUCAGUCCUACCAGCAGGGAGCACCAGAGGCAGCUUCCAGAACCGGGGAAAUCCGGGAACCUAGUCACGUCUGCAAAGCACCGUCUGGCUUUCUCUCUUCCCCGCCCGUCAGAAACUGUUUUCCAAAUCGAGGUAUGGGACUUGUCGUUCAAGCAUGGUGAUGCCAAAAUAGUCCACCUUUAGGGUUUUGUUUCCUCGCAGCUAGCACACUGAUAAAAAAGUAAAAGUACUUUGUGUGACUGAACUCCUGACACGGUCAGACCCCAGUGAAGGGAGGGAGGGGAGUCACGGGGGGGAAUUAAUGGAAAGGAACGAAGAGCAGAAACCUCUGAUGCUGAUAAAGAUCAGUUUUGUGUGAUAUCCUAGCCUGCUUCAGAGUGGGAAGGCGACAGUGGAAGGACUCCGCUGGAUUUGCCAGUGCCCCGUCAAGGUUUUUUAAAGGCUCUAAGUACAACUGCUCAGGAGCUGCUCAAAUGGAGGUGUGCAGAUUGGCAGAGAACAUCUUAAUUUUUUGAUGAAGAUAGACCCUCAGGGGUGGAAGAACCAAUGGAAGAUCACUUAAAUUCACGUCUGAAAGGAGUACCUGCUAUUGGCAACAACUUGGAUGGACCUUGAGGACAUUAUGGGUUGAACAAUCCAGUUCUUGGCCUGCUGGUCCCCAGUGUCUGCAACAAGAGCUUUUUCUAUUGAAAGACUAAGGAAAGAUGGUCCGGAUGAGCCCGAGAUAGAAGACAAAGGAGGUAUGAGGCAACAUCUUUCCCUGCUGGCUUGGGAACAGUCAUCUUU